rnacentral:rRNA from 1 species
GUUUGACUGGGGCGGUCUCCUCCCAAAGAGUAACGGAGGAGCACGAAGGUGGGCUAAUCACGGUUGGACAUCGUGAGGUUAGUGCAAUGGCAUAAGCCCGCUUAACUGCGAGAAUGACGGUUCGAGCAGGUGCGAAAGCAGGUCAUAGUGAUCCGGUGGUUCUGUAUGGAAGGGCCAUCGCUCAACGGAUAAAAGGUACUCCGGGGAUAACAGGCUGAUACCGCCCAAGAGUUCAUAUCGACGGCGGUGUUUGGCACCUCGAUGUCGGCUCAUCACAUCCUGGGGCUGAAGUCGGUCCCAAGGGUAUGGCUGUUCGCCAUUUAAAGUGGUACGCGAGCUGGGUUUAGAACGUCGUGAGACAGUUCGGUCCCUAUCUGCCGUGGGCGUUGGAAGAUUGAAGGGGGCUGCUCCUAGUACGAGAGGACCGGAGUGGACGAACCUCUGGUGUUCGGGUUGUGUCGCCAGACGCAUUGCCCGGUAGCUAAGUUCGGAAUUGAUAAGCGCUGAAAGCAUCUAAG